GUUUUUUUCAUUUUCUGAGACCGGAAGUGGUCAUCAGCAAAUGCAGAGCCAAACGACAAGAUUCUCAGAGGGCGGAGUCAGAGAGCAGCGAUUGGUCAGACCACAGAGAAUAUAGAAGACAGCGCGCUAGCUUAUCUAGUCUGUGUACCUAUGGUCGGCACGUCUGGUAGCGUCUCUGGCUGCUGUUGACCUUGUUUUUGGAGUAAAACACGGUGGAAGCUGAAUUAGUGAGGAUGACUCCUGCUCCUGUCAUCUCUAAGCUCCUCACACAUCUUUACCUGCACAUGAGGAAAAUCACUCCUGUAGAAUGCAGAUGUUCAGAGGGAGAUGAUGCCACAUCUGGUCCAGCUGAUGGAAGGUCUUGAAGUUCUCUGACUGGCCUCGACUGAAGACGGUCGUCUCACUGGAUUUAAGAUGCACAAUGAGGGACGUCUGCAGAGACUGAGAAAGAGUCUCACCACAUCCUUACAUGAGGAAAAAGACUUUAUUGAAGACUACAAUGAGAAAAACUAUCCAGACAGCAGACGGCUGCAUUCAAGUUUAGGCUGUUAGAUUGUUCCAGAUAAGACAAGUACAAGAUUCUUCAGAGCCGUUCUACCACAAGCCUGACAGGAAGAACUCCAACAGCUACUGAAUGUUCCUGUGGUUCCCUCAAGGCUACAGGAGGAGCCCUACGAGGACGAGCCGGUCCACCUGAUGGUGGCCAGUCGCUGUGGUUCAAAGCCAACACCGACUACGUGGACUUCUACUGGACCACACGGAGGCCUUCAAACCAGACCAACAAGUUCAGCGACUCCCCGACUCGUGGGUCUGAGGACGCCGCCGAGCCUCGGCCCAGCCGGCCUCCUGUCUGUGGAUGUUUGAGUGCUGAGAGGUUUGUGGAUCCAUGUGAACGUUCUGUGUUGAAACAGCAGCUUUGGACUCAGUAACGCCGGGAAAAACCAAGAGCUCCUUUAUUUGUGACUUCCACUAAUAAAACUGAUGAAAAUAAGUUUGCCAGGGUUCUGACUGAUAACACAUUAUUAAAUAAUGAAAAUAACAGUUUAAAUGUUCCUUUAAACAAUCCUUUUAGGUCUACAUUUCCUUUACACUGACUUCUUGGUAUAUGCACAAGUAUUUUGGGUGGAAUAUACCAUUAAACCUGAUGUUCAAGGGUUCUUCUGGGAAUAUACCAUUAAACCAACCUUUUAGGUAAAUAUUCCAAGAUGUUGGGUAGAAUAUACCAUCAGAUCAACCUUUUAGGUCUACAUUGGAAGAUUUUAGAGUAGAAUAUUACUCCAAACCAUCCUUUAGGUCUACAUUUAAGGUGGAAUACUCCUUUACGCCAAGAUUUUUUGGUGUACGUUGAAGUAUUUUAAGUGAAAUAUUCCUUUGAAUGAACUUUUUAAGUUUAUGUUCAAGGAUGUUGGGUGGAAUAUACCAUCAGACCAACCUCCAAGGUCUACAGUAGUGAAUUUUAGGUGGAAUAUACCAUUAAACUCACCUACAUUGGACGAUUUUAGGUGGAAUUUUCUUCCAAACCGUCUUUUAGUCUACAUUUAAGGAUGUUUAGGAUGGUAUAUUCUUCCAAACCAACUUCUCAGGUCUACAUUUCAGGUGGAAUAUUCCUCCAUACUAACUUUUUUGGUCUACAUUGAAGGAUUUUUUUCUGAACCACCCUUUCAGGUCUAUAUUUGGGGUUUUAGGUGGAAUAUUCCUUUUAACCAGCCCCUCAGGUCUCUUUGAGGAUUUUGGAUGGAAUACUAGGUUAAACCAACAUUUCAGGUGCAUGUCCAAGGAUUUUUGGUGGAAUGUUCCUUUAAGGUGGAUGUUUGAGUACCUUGUAGGUGGACUACUUCCUGAAACCAACCUUUUAGGUCAACAUUCAAAGAUUUAAGGUGGAAUAUUCUUUUAAACCAAACUAAAUUUCAUGUUUUGAUCAUUAUCAAUUGAGAAACCUCAAUCCAGACUCCCCAUAAUGACGUUUGAGAUUUAUGCUGCCCUUAUUUGUUUAGUCCAGACUAAAUGACAGAAAUCCACAACUGUAAUUUUAUUUCAGGACUCGGUUAUUAAAUGUCAAAACAAUCCAUGUGACUCUAAAAACUCAACAGCUUUACAAACUAAGAUUAAACUCUCCACAAGGAUCCAAAAUAAGUUGAACUUCUACGUGAGAGCUUGAAUUAUUCUUCAUCUACUUCCUGAAAAGUUUGGUCAAUAAAAAAGACAAAAACUAGUAUUUUCAGCUGAACUAAAGAUAGACUUUGUGAUUUUUCUGUUCACAUGUUGUGUUGUUGUAAACUUACUCUUUCAAAUAAAUAUCCUCCUAACCCCCUGGAAACCAGCGUUUGUCCUGUUUUUGUGUUGCUCCUUGGCGACCCUAGACAGCCGGGUCCUAAUGUUUUUUGAGCAACACACCAUACUAUGAUGUUUUUACAAUGA
ensembl:lncRNA